AUACGUAGGGGGAGAGCGUUGUCCGGAAUGAUUGGGCGUAAAGGGCGCGUAGGCGGCCCGGUAAGUCUGGAGUGAAAGUCCUGUUUUUAAGAUGGGAAUUGCUUUGGAUACUGUCGGGCUUGCGUGCAGGAGACGGAAGUGGAAUUCCCAGUGUAGAGGUGAAAUGCGUAGAGAUUGGGAGGAACACCAGUGGCGAAGGCGACUUACUGGACUGUAACUGACGCUGAGGCGCGAAAGUGUGGGGAGCAAACAGGAUUAGAUACCCUGGUAGUCCACACUGUAAACGAUGAAUGCUAGGUGUAGGGGGUAUCGACCCCUUCUGUGCCGCAGUCAACACAAUAAGCAUUCCGCCUGGGGAGUACGGCCGCAAGGUUGAAACUCAAAUGAAUCGACGGGG
rnacentral:rRNA from 1 species